rnacentral:rRNA from 1 species
AGAGUUUGAUCCUGGCUCAGAUUGAACGCUGGCGGCAGGCUUAACACAUGCAAGUCGAGCGGAGAUGAGGUGCUUGCACCUUAUCUUAGCGGCGGACGGGUGAGUAAUGCUUAGGAAUCUGCCUAUUAGUGGGGGACAACAUUCCGAAAGGAAUGCUAAUACCGCAUACGUCCUACGGGAGAAAGCAGGGGAUCUUCGGACCUUGCGCUAAUAGAUGAGCCUAAGUCGGAUUAGCUAGUUGGUUGGGUAAGGGCCUACCAAGGCGACGAUCUGUAGCGGGUCUGAGAGGAUGAUCCGCCACACUGGGACUGAGACACGGCCCAGACUCCUACGGGAGGCAGCAGUGGGGAAUAUUGGACAAUGGGGGGAACCCUGAUCCAGCCAUGCCGCGUGUGUGAAGAAGGCCUUAUGGUUGUAAAGCACUUUAAGCGAGGAGGAGGCUACUGAGACUAAUACUCUUGGAUAGUGGACGUUACUCGCAGAAUAAGCACCGGCUAACUCUGUGCCAGCAGCCGCGGUGAUACAGAGGGUGCGAGCGUUAAUCGGAUUUACUGGGCGUAAAGCGUGCGUAGGCGGCUUUUUAAGUCGGAUGUGAAAUCCCCGAGCUUAACUUGGGAAUUGCAUUCGAUACUGGGAAGCUAGAGUAUGGGAGAGGAUGGUAGAAUUCCAGGUGUAGCGGUGAAAUGCGUAGAGAUCUGGAGGAAUACCGAUGGCGAAGGCAGCCUUCCGGCCUAAUACUGACGC